UAUUCACAACGUAGUGCCAGUAGAUAAACAGAAGCAGAUAGUAAAUCUCUAACCCAACCAGAAAAAGAAAAUUCUGGAUUUUCCACCUCAGUUGCAUAGACUGCUCAAUGAGUAAUAGUAAUACAAAAGUUAAUCACCUCAUACAACAGUGACGCCGCUGAAUCAGAAGAGACUUAAAAAGUGCAACUACUCAGACUCAAAUGUCUGCCACUCAAUACUCGCCAAAGUAUGGCGGCCACCACAAGCGACCAGUUUAGCGCACCAACGCCCUCCUUCUGCGCUACUGACAUCACUUGGAGGCGGAAUAUUUAUUGGAACUUCCGAUGGAUGACCAGUCGUCGACUUUCUACCAUAUCCUAGUCGUCCAUGGUCUCCCCGCCCAAAAGAAAACAUUCGACCAUCAUGCGCUAAUGCAACAGAGUGUGUUCCCCCACAUGAAACCUGAACAAUGUUCUCCCCAGCUAAAAGUUGAACCUUUUGCGGCACCAUUUUACUACUCUUGUCAUCCCCAAAUCCAAGUCUACCAUGUUCUCCUCUUCCCCAGCCAUAAACCUCCCCCUCAUUUGUCAAAGCUGCAGAAUGCCAUCCUCCAGCAGCGAUAUCAACCAAAGUGAGACCAGAUAACCCUUGAAUGGCAAUGGGUUGUGAUCUUGGCUGGGUAUCCCCAGUUCCAAGUUGCCCAUACUCAUUAUUACCCCAUGCCAUUAGAACUCCGUCAUCAAGAAGAGCCAAGUUAUGAAAGGCCCCUACUGCAAUCAACCUCACACUUGCAAGACCUUGUACACGGACAGGAGUAGAAAUUUGCUUUAUGUCACCAGGAGGCCAUGGUUGACCCCAUGUCCAUACUUGUCCUUCCCUUGUAAGAACAACAGAGUGUGUACCACCAGCAGCUACCUGACGAACAGAAAGCUUAGAGGCACAACGCUUAGGGAUCACAAUAUCUCUCUUUACAGGCCUUCCAGUGUCAUCUUUCCUUUCUGGUUCUUCACCACAUUGUCCGUAUUCAUUACCACCCCAAGCAUAAGCCUUGCCUUGAUCAUCAACAGCCAAACAAUGCCAGCCACCAAUUGCCGCCUGAACAAUUUUCACAUUGGCAAGAGCUUUAACCUGACUAGGAAUGUUCUCAGUUUUUGUCUCAGGUGGGUGUCCCAAUGUCCCUCUUUGAUUCCAACCCCACGUAAACAAUCGGCCAUCUUCACAAAUGGCAAGAGAGUUUCUACUUCCAGCAACAACAGACGAAACUUUUUCAGAUUCUAGAGCUUUAAUUGAACAAACCCACUCUUUCUCUUCAUUGUUUCCAAUACCCAAUUGACCAUCUUCUCCAGAGCCCCAAGCGAUGACGGCGUUUCUAGAAGCCAUAUAUACUUAUGGCUGACUGCUUUCAGUUUUCUGUUUGCUGAAGAGCUAAUUCUGAAUAUUUUAGAGCUUCCCGUCUUGAUUUUCAAGAAUCGGUAAAAAUGGUGGCUUCUUCU
rnacentral:misc_RNA from 1 species